rnacentral:rRNA from 1 species
GGUCAAAUCACGCAGAAACACCGGUUCACGUACGAUCACCGAAGUUAAGCAGCGUAGAGCCAGGUCAGUACUUAGAUGGGGACCGCUUGGGAACACCUGGUACCGUAAG